GACUUCAUCUUUUAUACAGUCGGGUUCGGGGUUUCGGGCAGCCAUGGCGAAUUUCGGCAAGAUUUUACCCCAGUGAAAAAGGCUUGUAAUCCACAGUGAUCAGCUAAGAUGUUGUUUCACUGGAUUAUUUAAUUGGGCAUAUAAUUGGAUAAUUCUGGAUCAGCCGAGAUGUUAUUUCACUGGAUUAUUUAAUGGAUAGACUAAUUGGGCAUAUAGUUGAAUAUCUCUGUCCUCAACCUGGAAGAUAUGUUUUGUUCCUAACCAUCUAUAAUCCAUUCUCUAUGAAGUUCAGACUGUCUGCUCUUCCUUUGGAAAUACACAGUUAGUCAACCAACAUAGAAACACACAAACUUGAAGGAUUCUCUAGUGAGGGCUUAUGGAAAUGAUCUAUGUCUACUCUCAGAAUGGUGAAAGACUAUCAGAUUAUGCAAAGACUAACAGAAUAUCCUCUCUUGGAACACUGAAACAAGAAAAUCAAACUGGA